UGAGGCAAGGGUGCCCUCGCUCAGGCGGCGACAACAACCUCUUCCCGCUGGACGUCGUCACCCCGGCAAAGUUCGACAACCUCUACUUCAAGAACAUUUUGGCCGGCAAGGGGCUUCUCAGCUCAGACGAAGUCCUGCUCACCAAGAGCGCCGAGACGGCGGCGCUGGUGAAGGCGUACGCGGAUGAUGUGGGUCUCUUCUUCCAGCACUUUGCGCAGUCGAUGGUGAACAUGGGCAACAUCAUGCCACUGACAGGGUCGCAAGGGGAGGUCAGGAAGAACUGCAGGAGGCUCAACAACUAUCACUGAGCAGCCCGUUACUGAAAAGCUCCAUGCUUUAAUUUGUGUGCUGAAUUGUACUGCGUGGAGUUGGUGGCUUCUUUAUUUUAUUUUGGAAUAAACAAUGUGUGUGCUUGUGUUAUUUAUUCAUAUUGGUUCAGUGAGCUCCAACUUCCAAAUCGUGCACUGGUCGGUCCUUCAGAAGAAGAAGAAAAAAAUGACACUUUAAAACUUUGAGAAACAAAUAGUAUUACAAAAAUGUUACUAAAUGAUUCUGCAAUAAAAUGCAAACUUACAAUUUUUUGGAUCAAAUGAUUCACACUUUAUCCCGCAAUAUACAUUGUUAUGAUUUCUUUAAGAAAAAUUGAAGUAUGGUUUUCGAAUUGUUAUUUUCCAAAUUGGUUGCAGCUGUUGUAAAACUCCUGAGUUAUAAUUGAGGAAGAGAAAAGUUUCAUCUGAAAAAGUAGUACUCCCUCUUUUCCGGUUUAUGGGCCCUUACACAUCCAUAGGUUGAAGAUUUAACUAGUAUAACACGGGUCUUAUAUCACAAAAAUUAUACCAUUAGAAACUUCGGAUGUUUUAUUUUCUAAUGAUAUAAUUUUUCUGAUAUAAAAUUCAUAUUACAUUAGUUAAGUUUUUAACCUAAAAAUGCGUGAGCCCCCCUUAAAUCGGAAUGGAGUUAGUAGUACUUACUUUAUUAAAGGUCACUUCCGUUUGACCUUUCCUUCUUUUUGGGAAGUCGAAGCUUAUAAGAAUCCAGAUCAAUAUCAAUUUCUAGGUUCCGUUAGACCUGUCUUCGGCCGACCAUUUCUUUAGUCACUGCUUUCUCUUUUUACAAAAAGAAUUCAUGACCCGUAUAGCUUCCAUUGUUUGAUGCACACAAAUAUAAUUUUAUUAUUAUCAUGUCUUACAAGUGAGUUGGAACAAAAAGUCGAGCAGUUGCACCCCAAUAGCCAAAAAGUCGUCUUGCACCUCUGACACUUGGUGAUAACCAAGCACAAAUUCAGCGUGACGUUAGAUGGAUAACCUGCAAAAAAAAAAAACUUGCGAUACCAACACAUAUACAACAUUCUCUGAAUAAGCGCUUGUAAUGACCUACUUAACCCCAUUAGCCACUUCCUAAACAAAUUAGAAAUACUGUUGGAGGCAAAUCCGGAUGUUACCACAACAGUUUACCGAAAAUUCUUGUAGUUGCGGGAUCUUAUUAUAUGAUAACCAUAUAUCAACUAGUACGUAAUGCAGGCGCAAAUUUGUAUUUCCUAGUACUAAAAUGAUUUAUUUUUGUUUUGAGGACAAGAUGGAAAAUGGUCAUUCGAUUAGAGAGCUAAAGGGUAAAAACAUAUAGGGUAUAGCCAUUCUACUCCCAAAUAGACAGUGCAAAGGAGUUUACUGAUAAAACUAUCACGAACUGUCUGGAUGAGGCCGGACGAGUGAGCCGUCAUCAAGGCUUGGUUCACUGGCAACAAUUUUCACGUCCGUGUAGCAGUUAUUGACGCGACUGAGGAGACGACAAUAAUGUUCAAAUAUGGGUAUGGCUUUGUCCACUCUACGCCUGAAAUAGGAAAGUACUUACCUAUGAUCAUCAUAAGUUUGGCUAUGCAACAGAAAAAAUAAUCUCGUUACAUGCACCACCUAACAAAGGGAAAGGGGUUCGUAGCUAAUAAAUCAAUCAAGCGACCACUCAGGCAAAAUCAUUAGACAUGCUAUCCAAUCCAUAGCUUGGUUGAACCCCUCACCAGAAAAGGAAGAAUGAAAACCGACUCAACAUGCAUUUGAACAUCAGCUAGAUUAGAUAGAAGAACCAACAGCCAGCCAGCAGAUGGGGAUUAUGAGCCUUGACCUAAAAAGAGAAGAGAACAUGACUAUGGUUUUAAAUUUCAUGGCUAGCUAGGUCCAAUAUGAUUGACGGGCACCCAUCGAACUCAAAGUCAAAGUGGUUAUCCAGAUUCCAUUGCACAGUGAUAAGUUGCCGGCUGCAGGACAGGGGGCAGGUGAAAAGGCCGUACAGCCAGAUGGAUGCAGACGAAUCGAGAACGGCCGGUAAGGAGUAGUUAGCAUUGUGUUCUUUUGUUCUUGGAUGUACUUGUAUUUCGUUCAGUUAUACUAACGAACACUAGUUCCAGCUCUAUUGGCUUACAUGAUUAGGAUUUUAAUUUGUAUGUACUUUGCAUUCUUGAGAAUCUGAGUUAUGGGCAAUUUCAUUGAUAGAGUAGAUAGAUAAAUGUAGGUGGGAGUACUUGUUUAUUAUGGUAAGAUGAUUAUAUGUGUGUGGGUGUCCUCGGGUCCUUUCUUUCCUAGCUUUUCAAGUUUUAUCAUAAUCAAGGUAUUAAAUAAACAUAGGUGGCUAGCUGUUGCAAAAACAAGAAAGAUGAUUGAGCAACAUAUUGCAUAUUUGCAUACAUCAUACAUGCAUGGGCGACCUUUUAUUUUAAUUAUUUUACUGGCAUGAGCCUUGAUCCCGUUUCUGAUUAUUAUUUUCAGGCCACCAUGAAGUGCUUUUGAGAAUACUGAUUAACACAACACUGCAUUGUAAAUGUGCCAUAGAUAAACAGAAAAAGAAAUCAUGCAACCACCGAAGGAAAAGAUAAAGACUCCCAAGCUCUUCAUUUUGGUUUAUGAGUUUCGUUGCUAUAUCUCUCUGAUGUUGCAUAUACCGGAAUGUUCUAAAAGCUAGUAGUGGCAAUAAUCACCUGGAUUGGAUCGGAUACUGCUCUUAUAAAAUCAGUGCGUCACUGUUUCAGCCAUCAUCGGCAGACUAUAGUUUAUCAAGUUGUGACCAAGUUCUGUUCUUAGCUGCAAAAGAACCAUGCCCUCUUACAUAUCGUCAUGGUGCAAAUAUAUUUUUCUCCAGGAUGUAACUAACUUUUCUGUUUUGUGCACUGUAACAUAGCAUGGAUGGCAAGCUUGGAACUGGGGUGACACCUGUUGAGACGCAUCGCAUUGCGUAAAGGGCUACAUUUCCAGAAGCAUAGAGAAACAUGCGCAUCACUCCCUUCUCAUUCGAUCAACAACACUUCACAAAGGGGCAAAACACAAAGAUAAAGAAAAAUUAACCAUCUCUUGGAAGCUAAGGGCCUUCUCUAAUAGUCAGCAAAGCUGUGAUCAAGUUGGCUUCUUCUGGAAUCUAUGUAUUACUUAUCAUAACGAUGAUCUGAGACAAUGUUAGUAGUACAAAAUUUGUAGCCUUAAAUAGCAAUACAUCUCAUUAAAUACUUGCCCUUUUUCACAACACAGGUCAAAAGUCUUCUAUGCUUUAUUGGGUAUGUGUAUAACAUCAAGAAGAAAAAGGUAGGACUUUAGCUACUAAAAUUGUGAAGCAACAUUGGGAAGCUAAAUAAAAUACUGAGGACAACAUAGUAGUUUAAAAAAGCUUUGCUUAGUAACGUUUUAAAAAGACAAAAGCUUUGCUUAGUAAUGUUUUAUGAAGGCAAAAGCUUGCUUAAGCAGAUUGGGGUUGUUAAAGUGCAGAUCAGUGCAAUACAUUAAGCACUCCCUAAUCAAUCAUCUAGCUGUGAAGUCCUGUAUUUAGGGGACAAGUUGUAAGAAAUCAUUGGCGGAUUAUUCUCAAUUCUCUUGGAAAAUUUAUGUUGGUUAACUUCUAAGAAAUGUGCAAGACCUAUUCAAGAUUUUUCUUCCACAGUAAGCAUGAUUGGUGCGCUAUUAAGAGUUGAUUGUAGGAGCACAUUUGGGAGGGGGGGGGGGGGGGGGGGGGGGACAGGAAACAAUUAUGAAUCAGGAUCCUCCUAACACAGCAGAAGUGAAACGAGCAAGUACUCUUGCCUAAAGUCCACUUUAUAGUCUCCCCCACUCGGAUUUUAGCAGAGGGUAUGCACGCCAAGCCUAGGAAUGACUAUGCUCUCUUUGUGAGGCAUGCGACAGGAUCUUGCUCUUUGCUCUUCCUAGUUUAGCCAAAUAUUUGAACCAAGUGUACAGUCGAAGCAUACAUGGAAAAAUUAAAUACUCCCUCCGUCCCGAAUUAACUAACUGACGUGGAUUUGUAUAAAAAUCUAUACAUAUCCACGUCAAUUAAUUUGGGACGGAGGUAGUAAAACACAUUGAUUCUACAAAAAGUGCCAUCAAAAUAACAAAGGCUGUUCAAUUUCCGCUGAGAUAUGGAAAAUCUCACGGUUUGAAACGGAGGUGCAUGUAAUGCGCUGUUCAAUACAAGCUCACUUUUCUAUAAAUGUGGCUUAUGUUCACCAAGUAGUUACGUCAGCAUUGCAGCAAUCUCCAGAAUUUCUUAAGAAACGUUGUAAUACAUUUAUUUAUUUCUCUUUCUACACCAGAAAACGUUUUCCACUCAUACACGUAGCGUACACAUACCUGCAAGUGUCUGAGUCUCUGACAGUAACAACCAAGGUGCUGUUUUCUUCAAGAAACGGACACCGAUAAGAGCUGCACAGAAGAACAAGGAUGCUGGGCCCGUGGCAAAGCUUAGGAACAGUUGAAAGCACUUCCAGGAACCUGGUCCGACAUGAAUGUAGGCCAUGCAAGCACCUAACGCAUAAUCAUCACGCAUUCCUGUGUCCUCCAAAGUUGGUACAAUAUCGCACAUCUCCUUUGACCUGAUAGACAUGCACGCGUGUGUGUUAGCUAGGGAGAUAAGCCCCACAUUGUACAGAAGACACCAUGUUACACACGUUGUCUGGCCAUCUCAUGAUUCAUCGAAAACUUCAGUAACUUAGGAAAAGUAAACCUAAUUUGGUAUGAUUCUAAGACAAGAUACAACAAUAAUGUCGUAGAGAUCAUAUAGACUACCCUUCAUACAAAGCAUAUACUCCUUCCGAUCCAUAUUAGUUGUCAAAAUAUUACAUGUAUCUAGAUGCUUUUUAUGCAUAGAUACAUCCAUAUUUGCGCAAAUUUGAGACAAUUAAUAUGGAUCAGAGGGAGUAUCUUAUUUAUUUUUAAAUGGUGCGGUGCUGUAGCUUGGUACUUUGAUCCCCAAAGGUGUGGGAUACGAAUCCCUGUUCCCAUAAUCAGAAAUAAAAAGAAAACCUCCCUACACACCGUGCCAACGUUAAUCAAUAUCUUCCGACCUGUAACAACACUUGUGUAUAACAAAAGUAGCAAUAUUAACUAGGAAGCAAACCUUUCACUUUUGGCUACGCCUUUUUUUGUACUUUGGCAGCUUGGUUUCACGUAAGAUAAUAUGAUGUAUUCCCAUGUGUAGGGUGAGGUUCAAUAUGGCUAGACUUCUGACUUGUUAGGGGUGGGCCUACUGUGAUGAGAAAGGUUAAAGUGAGACUUGUGACUGAUCUAAUGUAAGAUAUAGUGCACCUGCCUUAUGUAGUUCAAACAAUAACAUUCCGAUUCACGAGGGGGGGGGGGCUUACAUUAUCACAAUCUUAUGUGAUCAACUCAAAAAAUUGUUCAUUGUAGUGUGCAUGUGGACACAAAAAAAAUUCAGCAUUUCAUGCUCGCAGUUUUAUUUGCAGAAAUGUUACAGGAAUCGUUCUUCAAAUGUUGCAAUAGCGUUACAGAGAAAACUUGUAUUUUAGCUUCUCAGUGAAAUUGUGUACUUACAUUAAACUUGUCUGAGAAAUCCCUUCAUCUACAUUUGUUUACGAAAGUUGAACCUUUGAGAAACUCCCAAUAAAAAUGAAGACCGAAAUAAGACAAUGAUACUUAGCAGGUUUAGACCUUGGAAGCAAGUUUAAAACUUUACGGAAAAAAAAGGUAGACAAUUCAAACCUUUGGAAUUACUUGAUGGAAGAAUUAUUGCUGAAGCAGUUGAAAACAGUGGCUAGCAGCUCGCUUAUUCUAUACGCACUCCAGCUGCCCUGUUGCAUCUCGCAGUCCUCUCUGACCAGGAAACCACCCUUCUCUCCCUUCCCUACAUGCAUCCCAGCGUCCUACUAUAUAAAGCACCCCAUCCCCACAUCAUUUGAUCACCCACAAGAAGAGAAGUAGAAGCAAACAAGUAGCAAGUUGGCAACUCUCUUAUAUCACUUGUAACGAAGUGCAGCAAAGGAAUUACUUACAUGGCGAUUUCCAUGGGUUGCUUGGUGGUGCUCUGUGUUGUCUGUCCUCUCCUCCUUGCAGGUGCUGUCCGUGCCAAUCCAUGGUACGGCUUGUUCCCACAGUUCUACGACCAAUCGUGCCCAAAGGCAAAGGAGAUUGUGCAAUCCAUCGUGGCACAGGCUGUUGCCCAAGAGACCAGGAUGGCAGCAUCCUUGGUCAGGCUGCAUUUCCAUGACUGCUUUGUCAAGGUCUCUGCUUCCUCUUUACUGCAGUAUCCCUUACUUGUUUCUACAAUGAUAUAAUGAUGCUUGCUGAACAUAGUUCCUGUAAUUUAGUACAGAAACAUACAUGCUUUAAUGUUAGUGUAUGAAUAAUACAAUCAGCUAAACAAUUUAUUAGUUAAGUUCAGCAGUUUGAAUCCUUAACGUGCAAAGUGUUCAGUUAUAACUUAAGCUUUUGCUAUAAAUUUGUCCUUGCAUUUGAAACCGUGUCCGGAGGACCAGAAAAGAAUCUCUAGUUUUUAGGCUAACUUUUUAGUAUUUACCAAUGAUAAGAUAAGAUAGCCUACCUACACAGCUACAUUGCCCAUGAUGAGCACUACCUUAUGUCUUCUUGACAUGAUCGAGUCUGUACGAUGAAUGCUUUUCCCCAACAAAAACAGAUGGUGAUUACUCAAAUCAAAUGCACAAUAAUUGGAGGUCUAUGCAAUGGUCGUCCUUCACUUAAUGCAUGUACCAAUGUACCUGAUCAAUCGACACUAUUUUGUUGCAUGUGCCCAAUCUAUGUACUACCCACAUGCCUGAUUUAUCCACCAACAUUUUCUGACAUCUUUUCUUCUUGUGAGUAUAGGGGUGUGAUGCAUCCGUGCUGCUGGACAAUAGCAGCAGCAUAGUCAGCGAGAAGGGUUCCAAUCCCAAUCUAAACUCCCUCCGGGGGUUCGAGGUCGUCGACCAAAUCAAGGUCGCCCUUGAGAUGGCCUGCCCCGGCACCGUCUCCUGUGCUGACAUCCUUGCCCUCGCCGCCCGUGACUCCACUGUCCUCGUAUGUGAACAACACAAGUAACUCUGUUCCUAGUUAGCAAGAACUAAACAAUUCAGUAUGUUUGAUUUUUCGGGACCCAAAUUGACCUACAGGUUGGUGGCCCAUACUGGGACGUGCCACUCGGCCGGAGGGACUCUCUUGGCGCGAGCAUCCAGGGCUCCAACAAUGACCUCCCUGCCCCCAACAAUACCCUCCCCACCAUCAUCACCAAGUUCAAGCGCCUUGGCCUCAACAUCGUGGAUGUCGUCGCCCUCUCAGGUGGCCACACCAUCGGCAUGUCCCGAUGCACCAGCUUUCGGCAGAGGCUGUACAACCAGUCGGGCAACGGCAGGGCCGACGGCACACUGGAUGUGUCCUACGCGGCACAACUGAGGCAGGGGUGCCCCCGCUCUGGCGGCGACAACAACCUCUUCCCACUGGACGUCGUCAGCCCAGCCAAGUUUGACAACCUGUACUUCAAGAACAUCCUGGCUGGCAAGGGCCUCCUCAGCUCUGACGAGGUCCUGCUCACCAAGAGCGCCGAGACAGCGGCGCUCGUCAAG
rnacentral:lncRNA from 1 species